AUCAGUCAUCCACCAUUAGUUGGUAUUCACUCUAACUAGUGGGCUAUCCACAAUGAAGCAAGUUUCCUUUCCCGUCCUCUUUCUUGCCCUUCUCUUGCUGCUCUCUGUGGCUUUUGCACGUAGUGUUGUUGAAAAACAGGAUGAAAAGAAUGCAACAGGCGAUGUUUGUGGAUCCUCUUGCGGCAGUGGUCGAUGCUGCCCCUCUGGUUACUCCUGCUGCCCAAACGACUGGUGCUGCCGAUCAAGUUACAUAUGCUGCGGCUAUCAUGGUUGCUGUAGUCUUAAUGAGUAUGGUGCACUCGUGAAUGCUCACGGUGUCGCUAGCAUACUGAAACCUUCUCGUCGCUGAUAUGUUAUCAUGUUGGUCAUGCUGAUAGUAGUAACUUGUGGUAUAUCUAAAUAAUAAAGCAAGCAUGUCUAAAUAAUAAAGCAAGCAUGCUUAUUGUCUGCUAGGACAGCAUGCAUGCAGGGUCUGUACUUCCUAGUUCUUGUUGCCCGCAAGAACCAGAACCAGUGUUUCCGUCCAUCCUCUUUGUGUACUUGUGCAAUCGAAAUAAAUGCACCGAUGUUGUGCUUAGUUAUUUUA